UUUGCACUUCUGGUUUGAUAAUCUUAGUUUUUUUGUCUGUCUUAUUAAAUAUUUACAAUAUUUGAAAUUAACAGUUAGAAGUGUGUGUUGUUUCAUGUUUAUUAUUUUGCAUAGGGAAGAGCAUAUCAGAAAAUUUUGAGUGUUUCUUCUCUGUGGCUAGCUUGUAGCAUUUAUAAUCACACUUUUAAGAAGAAAGAUGACACCAUUCUCAAGGCUUCCCACUGAAGGAGCUGAAUACCCAGGAUCCUGUCGUAAACUGGAGAGAGUAUAUCUUUAUAUGAUCCAAGAACAACUUUUAGAUAGUGGUUGCAUCACUUCAGGCUCAAAGAAUAUGGAAAGAAGGGUAGAAAAUGGAAAAUAUAUAGUGAGAAGUUUUGGCUGCAAAAUUUUGGCUCAUCAAGAAAACUUUAGUUUAAAGUAUUAGAAGUUGCUGAUAGUCAUUGUCUGUUUUGAUUUUUUUUGAAAGUUAUAAUUUUAGGAGAAAAGUGCCAGCUCUGGUAAGUAUGAUUAAAUAGUCUGAACUGAAGAUUGACUUAUCAUUUUAUCUCUGUAGGGAAUAAAUACUGUGAAUUCUUUAUCUAAAAGUAACUAAAAUAGACAGCUGUAUGUCAGUCACUGUCUCAAGAUUUAACUUCUGGUUGUUCCACCCUUCCACUCUUUCAAAAAUUUUCACUUAUGAAGUAGUUCAACUUUUGGUCAAGAGUAAAGAAAUGUAAGUGCAAGAAGCUGACUGUUAAAUUUAUGUGGAACUGACUACAUUUCCGUUGUGCUUAAAGGAAAUUUUCAGUCGGUAAUUUAAUAUACAAAUCCACAUAUUUCUUUAAAUGAGAAAAUGUUUAAUGUGUGUUUGCCUGUUCCUGACUCAUGAGGUUUGUAUAUGUAUUUAUUUACAGAAGCUUGAGGGGCUGAUAGAAUGUAGCAUGAGUAUUCAACUUCCUCCAUAGGAGAGGCCGUACACGUAGGUAUGUUUGCCAGUGGGCUCACCUUAAUGCAUUUGGAGAAAUCUGUUGAGCAUGAUCAGUGGACUAAUGUAAAGUGGAGCGAUCCUGCCAACUAGCAUACUAAUUUGUAAGGGAGUUAGAGAAAAGUCAUUGUUCGGCCAUGCUGGAAGAAGGACAGGAGACACUGGAUUUAAUUAGGCCACAACUUUAUCCUUAAAUAUCUGGGAAUACCCAGCAGAUAAAACUAUAUAGUACAAGUAACUGCAUAAUCUUUUCAAUAUAUUCUCAAGGGGCUUCUGUCAGCCCUCCCCCUUACCCAUCGUGCUGCUGGGACCUCACCAUCCAGCCUCUUGAAUGAAGGUUUGGAGGGAGGGGAGUUUGGCUCCCUGCCAUACCAGUCGUAUGAGCCCUAAGCCCCCCUCCUCCCACCCCCUGGUUUCCACUCUUUUAAAGAAUACAUCCUUUAAAUCCUUUACCAAUCUAUUUUCUCUGAUUGCUGCUGCAUCCCUUCCCUACAGAGUACCUGCACUGGACAUCUGCCUCACAUUUACAUAAUGAGUUUCAACAUUAUAGCCUAACUCCCGUUUCAAGUUUGCUCCAACAAAGCCCCCAAACCUGCUGAAGGGAAGGCAAAAAAAACCCCAGAAACCCCGCUUACCUUGGCCAAUCUUGUGGUAAGAAAAAAAUUCCUCCCAGUCCCCCAAGAAAGGAGCAGCUAGCACAGUGCUGCCCACAGCUGAUCCUUACAGAACCCAGUAUUUCACUACAUUCAUGGGUUGAAGGAUUGGUGCUGCUCCACUUGGUCCAAGUAAAAGACUUUUCAUGCACUGGCAUGGACCUAUAUAAUCCCUCACCCCUUUUCUGGUCACCUAUGGGGGGACCUGGUUUGAAGCUGCACCAGAAAGUCACUCCCUGGCUCAAUAGCCCUUAAAGCAAGUGGUACACACUUUUUCCAACAAGCCAGAUUACAGCCCACACUGCGAUGAGGUCCAGUGAGAGAGAGAGUCAUAAGCUCUCAAGUGCUGUCUUCCCUACAUGGACCAUUAACAGUUUCUGGCUGGACCACAGGAAAGUAGUUCAGGGCUAAUUUAUAUCAAAAACUUUCCUCUUGCUUUAUGCAUUGCCUUCCAUCCCAUUUGCUUCAGGGUUUCAUAAGAAAACGGUCCUGAAUAUGGCCAGAAUAAUCUGUGUUACCAGAAUAUUUUGCAUAACAGUUCUAAAGCUCCAUCCUCCUACUUCAUCUACUUUCCCAGGCUCCCUUCGUUAACCACAAUCCAGUCUGCUCAUUCAGUCAGCUUGUUUUGUGAACAGAGCAUCCUUCAGGAGCUAGAUCCACAUUUAGUUUAGUUCACACUUGAGAAAAAAAGAAUACCUUCUCUGCCUAUUAUAGGGAAUCACUUGCAGUGUUUUAAGUCCUAUUCUAAAGGAUUUGAACAAAGGGCUCACCCCUGGGUUCCUCAGGGUGCAGGUGGCAGUUGUAGCUGCACUUAGGCUGUCAGAGUUUUCACGUAAAUUCUAAUCUUAGUUUCUCAUUUCCUAGCAGCUUCUUGCAUUUGACCACCUGUCAGAUCCCCAUGACCCUUUAUUUAGGGCUUCUCUCUUUUAUUUGAGAUGGUUUUCUUGAUUUCGAGGGUUUUCUUUAUUUUCAAGGUAGUUGAAGGAGUUUCCUUCACCAUCCUCAAGUUCAAUAUGUGGGGAAGAGCCAGUCAGAUCAAAUCCAUCUGCAAUGGUGAUAUUUAGGCUGGAAAGAGUGUAAUUUCUUACCUGGUAAUUCCAUUGGUACACAUGAGUUAAACCAUUGCAGGACCAUGUCCUUCAGUUCUCUGAGAAAAUGUUGAUGCUCUUGUUCUGUAUGUAUGUUUAUAGUGCGGAUCAGUUACUUAAAUCUUUGAAAUAGCUCACAUAGGGUAAGUAUGAGUGACGGUGGCUGGAUCAUAUGAAAAUGCUAAAAUUCUGUUGCUUCCUUCCUGAUUUUUUUAAAGAAAUGGGACUCCUUCAUCUGACUGCAUUGGUAGAACCAGACUGCACAGAGGAAUUAAAAGAAAAUGGAUGACAAAAAUGUCAGAACAUUAAUCAUUCUCAGCAGAGGGAGCUCUGGGAUGCACUUCCAUGUAUAUAUCGUAAUUAAAGUCAACCCAACCAAAUCCCUCAAAGUUCUAUACUGCCUAUGGAUUUUUUUCUUUAUAUAUGUUAUAGAAUGGGAUAGAAGAACUGCCUCAUUCAGAAUGUCAGAGAACAAUUCCAUCUUGUAGGAAGAGACGACAGAUGUCAGACCUCACUAAUCAACCCCAUUUUGCUCCCCUAAUCAGUGAGCCCAUGGUAAAGGGUUUUUUUUCAUGUCAUUUUAACUUGUGUGUGUUAUCUCACUGAAAAGUAAAAAAGCACUGACGUUGCUCGGACCUGGGGGACCCUACAGCAUUCAGGUGCAUAUGAAAGCAGCGCAUUUUAUUUGAGUGUCAGUUCAGUCACAGUAUAUCUGCUUUUGAAACACAACUGUGGUGUGAUAACCCUCUGAAAAGACAACUGCUUGUUUGUGUGUUAUGUUAUAUUUGUAUACGAAUGUACAUGAUGAAUUGUAGGUAACAAAACAAUACUAUUGAAGUUGAGUGUUCCGUCUUACACGGGUAUGUGAAAAACGAAAAUAAGCUCGUUGCCAGUUGAGCCCCACAUAAACAUGUGUUUAACAGUAGUUGUUUAAGACCAUUUGUUAACGCUGGUAUUUUCCGUAACCAUGUUCUAGCAUGAUACAGUGUUUUGUGGACAGGCUUGUGGCCAGGACUUAAUCCUGUUACAACCAUAUUCAAAACCAUCUACUUGUUUAGACUUCCAGGUAGGGUAAAAACACAGAAUAAGAGCCUCAUCUUUGCUCCAGCCUCUUCAUGUUGCUGUAACUUAAGCCACCUUGACUGCCUAAGUUACACUGGGGCUCUCUCCAGCCCCUGGAACAGCCCAGUAUCAGGGUGGCAUAAAGCCACCUUAGCCCCCUGCUCCCUUGGGUGGCAAGUUCUGUGCUGCAGCUCUUGGCGGCACAGGACAGAAUCUCAUCCAUCUCUCCCAGUAACCACACAGGUUACAGACAAGGAUAGGCAAAAGGGUUUUAAAAAUAUGUUGUGACUGCACUGUAGAUGCGGCUUUCGUCUAGAAUUUGGAGCUUGAGAGAGAACGAUAUGUAAUGCCACAAAGAAAAAGCCAAGUCUUUGGUAACAAUGCAGUAUUGAGAUUCCCUGAGAACUCCAUGCACAAAUAAAUAAAAUAAAAUACCCAUCUCAUGAUGAGUGAAUGGGAAGCAGAAUAGAUGAGGACAUAAAUGAUAGAUAAAAGAUUCCAGACAGUAACAGAAACUGAAAGAGGUUGCAAUCCAGGAAACCAAUAUGCUUUAAAUUGUUCCUGAGACACAGCAAUACCUGCUUGAAAAGCUGUUUGUCAGAGAGAAGAACCACAGUGAUUCAGUGAAUUUAAAAUUAUUCAAGUUUAGAAAGAGUAAGCGACACUGCUAACACACAUUCUUUGGGUGAAGCAUGUCUGAGAGGAGAUUCUGUUGUCCAAUAGGAGGCAUGAGGAAAUAAGCUGAGGACAGAGGAAAAGCAAUGGAAAGUUUUGGUGAUGUGAGGUAGAUUCUCACAUUUCUUCCAAGAAAAAAGAGACUCUCAACUUGAGAUCUAGUCAAUUUAAAAAAAAGUGACAUGUUCUGUAUUUCACUUACCCAUUCCUCAAGUCCGGUGCCAAUUUUUAGUUUUAUAAACACAUUCCUCCUCAGCCCUCCGCCUUACUGUUGCUUGAGGAAGACCCUCAAUAGGGGGACCUGACUGAAAAUACAAGGGAAACAAUGAAACUGGCAAUACAGAAAGCAUAGAGUAAACCAUAACACUUCAGAAUAAACUGUAAUUUUUAAGUUGUUGUCAUCUUAAAACUUUUAAAUGUUCCAAAAGAAACAUACUAGAGCAGUGUAAUAGGGUCCUCUGCCCACCCCUCUUCCUGGGGCCCGCUGACUGCCCCAAUAAAGCUCAGAGAGGCUUCCUGUUAUGCAGCACCCGUGGCUUUAUUUACACAAACAGUUCUCCCACCACCAGUGUUGACCUAUUUACAAGGCUUACAGGGUUAGUUCCCUCUUUGGCUAGCAGUCAGCCCGCAGCCGGGAGACUGUCCAUUCUCCUGGCAGCCCCUCUUCAUACUGACUCCCAGCCCUUAUAACUGCUGGCUUGUCAGGCCCACAGGUGGAGCCAAUCCCCAGGCCAGGCAUCACGCCUGUUACACCAGCCCCAAUCUAUUUCUCUUGAUUUGGAGAUGGCUGAGCAGGGGCUAAUUAGGUGCUUUUGCAACAGCACCCUGCUACAAGCAGUAAUCGUAGAAAUGUAGGGCUGGUAAGGACCCCAAGAAGCCAUUAAGUCCAGCCCCUUAUGUUGAGGCAGGACCAAGUAAAUCUAGACCAUUCCUGACAGGUGUUUAUCCAAUCUCCUCUUAAAAAUUUCCAUUGAUAGGGAUUUUGCAGCCUCCCUGGGAAGUCCAUUCCAGAGGUUAACUGUAUAGGAUAGAUUUAUCUAACCUAAACCUCCCUUGCUGCAGAUU